AUAGAUAACUAGCUUUAUCGUUAGCUUUUAAUAGUCUUACUUUGGUGGUUGACUAGCUGUCAAAAUUAUGUUAUAAUGACCAAAUACAACCAGAAACAAGUAUUCAAACUUAAAUGUGAAAGGUAAUUCCCCGAUAUGUGGUUUGGAUUGUGCGACGGUUUGUAAAACCUCAAAAGAAUAAGGCAUUUUUUAUUCAGUCCGCUUAUGAAAGUUGCCCCUACAAAUGUGGUGGCACGGUUGACGUGAUCCAGCAGCCAAUGGGGCGUCUAUGUAUUUAUUAUGUGUAUGAUUUGAAGUGCUCGAAUAGCCACAGGCUUCAAAUUGCUCCAGUUGCUCAAAAGAAUAUCUUUUACAAACAAAAUGCAAAUGCUUUCAUGAAAGUGGAAUCUAUUAAAGGGUUAGUUCACCCAAAAAUGAAAAUAAUGUAAUUUAUUACUCACCCUCAUGUCGUUCCACACCCGUAAGACCUUCAUUAAUCUUCAGAACGCAAAUUAAGAUGUUUUUGUUGAAAUUCGAUGGCUCCGUGAGGCCUGCAUAGCCACCAAUGACAUUUCCUCUCUCAAGAUCCAUUAAUGUACUAAAAACAUAUUUAAAUCAGUUCAUGUGAGUACGGUGCUUUAAUAUUAAUAUUAUAAAGCGACGAGAAUAUUUUUGGUGCACCAAAAAAACAAAAUAACGACUUAUAUAGUGAUGGUCGAUUUCAAAACAAUGCUUCAUGAAGCUUCGGAGUGUUAUGAAUCUUUUGUGUCGAAUCAUGAUUUGGAUCGCGGAUCAAACUGCCAAACGGCUGAAAUCACGUGACUUUGGCGCUCCGAACAGCUGAUUCGAUACAUAAUGCUCCGAUGCUUCCUGAAGCAGUGUUUUGAAAUGCUGAGGGGCCGGGUGGAGAAUCUUUUGCUGUUUCCUUAAAAAGAGUUAAUUUCAGCUGGCUCCACAGCCUGCGGUACCCAAAUUCUCAAUACAAAAGACCAGCUUCCUCAAUCUCUGGGUCACAAGAGAUGCCGUUUGGCAGUAAGCAACGCUAUGCCUUACCACUCUCAUCCACCUCUUUCAUCAGCAGGCACUUCCUUGUAGGAAAAUUGAAGCCAGUGUUACACCACAAUCAUGACCCCACUCCAGGACGUUUUGCCCGCCGGGUUGGGCCCCUGUGCUCCACCUCGCUGCCCCACUGCGGGAACGUCUGUAGUCUCAUUGGUGCCGCUCAUACAGUGUCUGGAAGUCUGGCUAAUACCAGACACAAAAGUAAUUCCCUAUGAGUGCUCUGUAAAAGAAUGAGUGUAAAAUAUGUAGUUUGUCUUUACAAAUUGAUAUUGUCAACCACUGGCCAGGCCAUGAAUAAUACAGGUGUUUUAGUCAUUUUCACAAAUCUGUGUGAACGGAGAUCACUUUGACAACUUUGUCAUCUGUACAUCUUAGCUCAUUGUUGUCGUGUAAACGUACCCUAAGACACAAAAGCUGCAUUUACAGACCUGAUGGCUCUGAAAGAGGAGAGUGAAGUACUGAAUGAAAUGGAAGUGAAAGAUCAACAUAAUAAUCAUCAAUAUUUAAUUACUGGGGAAACACCUUGUAGUUGCUCACAGACUGAAAACACUUCCUCACAAAAAAUGGCUCAAAAAAAAGGGACUAGAAAUAAUUUCUUCUGCCAACAGUGUGAAAAGAGUUUCAAUAGAAAAGGAAACUUUGACAGGCACAUGAAAAUUCACAAUGGAAAGGAUCCUUUUACAUGCAAACAGUUUGGAAACGGAUUCAAUCAAAAAGAAAGCCUUAACAGGCACACGAGAACUCACAAUCCUUACACCGGCCAACAGUGUAGAACAAGUUUCACUCUGAAAGGAAGCUUUUACAGACUCCUGGAAAUUCCCACUGAAAAGCCUUACACCUGCCCUCAGUGUGGAAAGAGUUUCAUUCAGAAAGGACACUUUAAAGACCACAUAAGAAUUCACACUGGAGAGAAGCCUUUCACCUGCCAACAAUGUGGAAAAAGUUUCAACCGAAAAGGAAUCCUUAACAGACACAUGCAAACUCACAAUACAGAGAAGCCUUACACAUGCCCUCAGUGUGGAAAGAGUUUCAGUGAACAUGGAAACUUUGAAGUCCACUUGAGAAUUCACACUGGAGAGAAGCCUUUCACCUGCCAACAUUGUGAAAAAAGUUUCAACCAAAAACGAAUCCUUAACAGGCACAUGAACAUUCACACUUGGAAGUAGCUGUUUAUAUAUGGUCAGUGUGGAAAGAGUUUCAGAUGUACAGAAAACUUAAAGUACCACGAGUACUUGUGUAUGAGAGAACGUGUGGAAUGAGUUUUACAGACAGGAAACACUUUAGAAAUCAUGUAAUAACUCACACCAGAGAGAAGCCUUUCAUGUGCCAUCACUGUGGAAAGACUUGCAGAAAUAAAGCAAACCUUGAGGUUCACAUAAGCGUCCUGAUAUACCCAGGCAGAGCUGUUUUUGGUUCUUUGCUUAGGGGUUAAAAGACGUUCAAAAUAUGUGAGCAGCGGACUGAGAGGGGUUUCACACUGACAGUUUAGUUUGAAACGGGGCACGGUGUGCACCGGGGUACCGAACCCCAGAGUUCUUGCGGGGAGGAGAAAAUCAUCCCAUGUUUUACUCGCCCUCAAGCCAUCUUAGGUGUAUAUGACCAUCUUCUUUCAGACGAACACAAUCAGAGAUGUAUUUAAAAAAUAUACCCACAGGAGAUUCUGGAAAGACGGAGAAUACUGAUCCCACUCAUGGAGCAAUUCCGCCAAAAUGUAAGAAAAUCUGUCCUCACUGUAGACUGACUAUAUGUUGAUGGGAAGCUAUACAGGAAUGACAGUAUAUCAUGGUUAUAAUCACUAAGAAAGAGGUAAAGGGGACAAAAUGUAGCCAAUGAAUGCUAAAUAAACACCUGUCUGCCACAUUAAAAAAA